CAGCCUGCAUCAGUUGAAGUCGGAUCGAACUCACUAGUGCGCCUCUGCAGCUCAUAUUACAAGACCAAUGCUGCGUUUGACGCGCCGCUCGCUGGUGCAGCGCUCUCGGAUGACGUUGGAGGCAAACUUCAAGAGCCAUAGCGCUGCCGCCAACCCUGCCACUGACGCCUCUGUCACGGGCAAGGUGAAGGCAGAGUUGAAGAAGAUGAUCAAGAUCCAGCUGGUGCUCAUCCCUAUCUGCGUAGUCUUUAUGGUGUGGAUGUACCCCACCCCCACAGAGGAGGAUGAGCGGCGAAUGCGGCUGGAGUAUGAACGCAAUGCUGGGUGGAAGACGUAGUGUGGAGCUUGGCGGCUUCUCUGCUGCCUUUCGGUUCCCUGUGAGCUGACGGCGCGUUGUUUUUGUGUAAAGGCACGCGUUUAUGUGUGGCUGUGCAUCUUUUUUUUCCCGGCCGUGGUGUGCCCAUGUCUGCCUCGCUUUCGUGGUUGUUGUUGCUUACAGAGGCAGAGUAACGGUAAACGCAAAAAAAGGAGGGCGAAGGGAAAACAAAGGGGGUGAAGAACGGCACGCGCACCCGUGUCAAAGGCCCUGCGAAUGCCGAACUCAUAGAGCUCGCUAUCUCUCUCUUUCUACCAUAUGCAUCUCUUCGUGCUGCC
rnacentral:misc_RNA from 1 species